rnacentral:rRNA from 1 species
GACGAACGCUGGCGGCGUGCUUAACACAUGCAAGUCGAACGGAAAGGCCUGCUUUCCCUUGUGGAUUGCGGGUACUCGAGUGGCGAACGGGUGAGUAACACGUGAGUGAUCUGCCCCCAACUUGGGUAUAAGCCUGGGAAACUGGGUCUAAUUCCCGAUAGGACUGCAGGGUGGUGCCUGUGGUGGAAAACGGUUUUCUAGUGGUUGGGGAUGAGCUCGCGGCCUAUCAGCUUGUUGGUGGGGUAAUGGCCUACCAAGGCGGCGACGGGUAGCCGGCCUGAGAGGGUGGACGGCCACAUUGGGACUGAGAUACGGCCCAGACUCCUACGGGAGGCAGCAGUGGGGAAUAUUGCACAAUGGGCGGAAGCCUGAUGCAGCGACGCCGCGUGGGGGAUGACGGCCUUCGGGUUGUAAACUCCUUUCGACCGCGAGGAAGCCACCUGGUUGGAAGGGUGGUGACGGUAGUGGUAGAAGAAGCACCGGCUAACUACGU